rnacentral:rRNA from 1 species
GACGAACGCUGGCGGCGGGCUUAACACAUGCAAGUCGAACGGAAAGGCCCUGCGUGUGUGGUGUGCUCGGGUGGCGAACGGGUGAGUAACACGUGAGUAACCUGCCCUUGACUUUGGGAUAACUUCAGGAAACGGGGGCUAAUACCGGAUAGGAGCUCCUGCUGCAUGGUGGGGGUUGGAAAGUUUGGGCGGUUGGGGAUGGACGAGCGGCUUAUCAGCUUGUUGGUUGGGUAGUGGCUGACCAACGCUUUGACGGGUAGCCGGCAUGUGAGGGUGGACGGCCACAUGGGGCCUGAGAGACGGACCAGACUCCUACGGGAGGCAGCAGGGGGGAACAUUGCACAAUGGGAGGAAGCCUGAUGCAGCAACGCCGCGUGCGGGAUGCCGGCCUUCGGGUUGUAAACAGCUUUCGCCUGUGACGAAGCGUGAGUGACGGUAAUGGGUAAAGAAGCACCGGCUAACUACGUG